AGAACGAACGCUGGCGGCGUGGAUAAGACAUGCAAGUCGAGCGGGGAUUUCCUUUAGUAGCAAUACCGAAGGAAGUCUAGCGGCGAACGGGUGCUUAACACGUGGGCAACCUGCCAAGAAGUGGGGGAUAGCUCGCCGAAAGGCGAAUUAAUACCGCAUGUGAUUAGAGUGGACAUCCAUUCGAAAUUAAAGUCGGGGCAACCUGACGCUUUUUGUGGGGCCCGCGGCCUAUCAGCUAGUUGGUGAGGUAACGGCCCACCAAGGCUUUGACGGGUAGCUGGUCUGAGAGGACGACCAGCCACACUGGGACUGAGACACGGCCCAGACACCUACGGGUGGCAGCAGUCGAGAAUUUUUCAC
rnacentral:rRNA from 1 species